ACAGAGGCCCCGAGCGUUAGGCGGAAUCACUGGGCUUAAAGCGUGUGUAGGCGGGCCCGUAAGUGUCUUGUGAAAUCCCACGGCUCAACCGUGGAACUGCUGGGCAUACUGCGGGUCUUGGGCCAACUAGGGGCAGCUGGAACAAGCGGUGGAGCGGUGAAAUGCGUAGAUAUCGCUUGGAACGCCGAAGGUGAAAACAGGUUGCUGGGGUUGUGCCGACGCUGAGACACGAAAGCCAGGGGAGCAAACGGAA
rnacentral:rRNA from 1 species